UAAUUGAAACCAAAAUAGAGGUAUGUUAUUGUUAAUAACAAAAUUGAAUUAUUUCCAAUUAGAA
rnacentral:tRNA from 1 species